rnacentral:rRNA from 1 species
CUACGGGGGGCAGCAGUCGGGCAUAAUCUACAAUGCGCGCAAGCGUGAUAGUUUGAGCCAGAGUGCUUUUCUAUUGAAAAGCUUUUGUGAAAUGUAAAAAGUUUCACGAAUAAGGACUGGGUAAGACGAGUGCCAGCCGCCGCGGUAAUACUCGCGGUCCAAGUCGCAGCCAUUUUUAUUGGGUCUAAAACAUCCGUAGCUUGCUUGGCAAGUUUCUUGUGAAAUUUGAUGUCUUAAGCAUUGAGCGAGCAAGAAAUACUACCAAGCUAGAGACAGGGAGACGUAAGAAGUACGUUAGGAGUAGCGGUCAAAUGUGUUAAUCCCUAGCGGACUCACAAUAGCGAAGGCAUCUUACGAGAACUGUUCUGACAGUCAGGGAUGAAGGCUAGGGGCGCAAAACGGAUUAGAUACCCUUGUAGUC